UACGUAGGGGGCAAGCGUUGUCCGGAUUUAUUGGGCGUAAAGAGCGUGUAGGCGGCCAUUCAGGUCAGCUGUGAAAACUCGAGGCUCAACCUCGAGACGUCGGUUGAAACCGUUUGGCUAGAGUCCGGAAGAGGAGAGUGGAAUUCCCGGUGUAGCGGUGAAAUGCGCAGAUAUCGGGAAGAACACCCGUGGCGAAGGCGGCACUCUGGGACGGUACUGACGCUGAGACGCGAAAGCGUGGGGAGCGAACAGG
rnacentral:rRNA from 1 species